rnacentral:rRNA from 1 species
UUAUGGCUCAGGACGAACGCUGGCGGCAUGCCUAACACAUGCAAGUCGAACGGAACUAAGGGGCUUGCCCUUAGUUAGUGGCGGACGGGUGAGUAACGCGUGAGCAACCUGCCUUUCAGUGGGGAAUAAUAUCCUGAAAAGGGUACUAAUACCGCAUAACGUAACGAGAUCGCAUGGUUUUGUUACCAAAGAUUUAUCGCUGAGAGAUGGGCUCGCGUCCGAUUAGCCAGUUGGUGGGGUAACGGCCUACCAAAGCUACGAUCGGUAGCCGGACUGAGAGGUUGAACGGCCACAUUGGGACUGAGACACGGCCCAGACUCCUACGGGAGGCAGCAGUGGGGGAUAUUGCGCAAUGGGGGAAACCCUGACGCCAGCAAUGCCGCGUGAAGGAUGAAGGUCUUCGGAUUGUAAACUUCUUUUGUCAGGGACGAAAAUUGACGGUACCUGACGAAUAAGCUCCGGCUAACUACGUGCCAGCCGCAGC